AGGAUAACUUAAGUUUGUCAGGCGUGCUUGUUACAGUGCUUGUUGCAACAUGUCAACAACAGCGUUCCCUAAACCUCAGUUGUACAAUUUACGCUAACACCUUCAAUUAAACAUGUCUUUCAUGUGCCUAUACCCUGUUGGUAAGUUUUGUUUUCAAGAAAGCGCCACGUAAUUAACGUGGUUACACAAACAUAAGGAUCAUGUACACAUCUCGCACCAAAUGUUGCUAUUCUGCUUUGCACUGGAAGGAUAAAGUUGAUAAGGUUAUUGCUACUACAACUUGUUCUGUGCAGAUGGCCCAAAAGAAGGAGGAGGCGGGCAUGGGCUCUGGCUUUGAAGAGAGAGAGAGAGGUUUGUGCCAAAACAACGCUGAUCUGAUGCUGCCACUUACCUCCUGAGCAAACUGUUCGGCUGAGAGAGCCAUCAAUUUCAACUUCAACUUCCCCAAACACUUGUCCAAGGGUAGUUCCAGUCCUGUGUUCCAUUCUUCAUGGAGGGCAUGGGGUGACUGUCUGCGUUUGUGACCCUCCAGUCAGCAUUGAGUUGACGGGCUACAGACACUUGCAGUUGGAGAACAGGCUGUGAACUGCUGAUAUCCUGCGUCCUUCAGCACAGUGAGCGCCAGUGCCACAGAUCAACGCAAUGUUUGAGCUGCCACAGACACCUUCAUCUUCUGGCCAUCGAAGUCAACAUGCCUUCUGAUCACCUUGUUUUUGCUGCAUGAAGACCCUCAGGAUCCUGAACAUUAUUCAGAUCAACAAUAUGUUGCCAUUUAAAUGUUCCAAAGGGACUGAUGAUAGGACCGUAAGCCUUGAGCAUAUUUCUAGCUAAUUUCCUGAUCAGGUAGAUAUCUUCCCCUGAGGAAAGGUGGGUAAAUGAGGUCUUCAGAGGCUGUUCUUCUGGAUUUUACCAGAUAUGUUUCGACGGUAGGGUCACAGGGAGGUUGAUGUGUCAUGUGCUUUGAAAUGAGCUGAUGUUGUUAUGGAGGUGUGCCCUCCCUGUCAAUAUUGACAGGUUGGUCACACUUCCUACUGAGUUAUCCUUUUUGGAUGGUGGUCCAGGUGUGUGACGGCAUGUAUGCCCCCUCAUCCCUGUGAACAAAAACCAGGGAUGAGGGGGCAUACGUGCUCUAACACACCUGGCCCACCAUCCUAAGAUGACCACUCUAACAGCAGGAGGUUUGACCAAUAUCAACAGGGAGGGCACACCUCCACAACAACGUCAACUGAUUUUAAAGCACGUCACAUCAACAUCCCUGUGACCCUACCGUCGAAAUGUCUGAAGUAACCUGGUUAAUGGAUGGUGGUGGCGGGGUUCUAAUGUUGAUUGUGUAUAUAGUUGUCUUUUUUCAAUAAAUUGAAGUGUGGUCAGGA